rnacentral:rRNA from 1 species
UACGGGGGGAGCAAGCGUUGUUCGGAUUUACUGGGCGUAAAGGGCGCGUAGGCGGCCACUGCAAGUCGGUUGUGAAAUCUCCGGGCUUAACCCGGAAAGGUCAACCGAUACUGCAGGGCUAGAGUGCAGAAGGGGCAACUGGAAUUCUCGGUGUAGCGGUGAAAUGCGUAGAUAUCGAGAGGAACACCUGCGGCGAAGGCGGCCACCUGGACCAGCACUGACACUGAGGCACGAAGGCGUGGGGAGCAAACAGG